ACCAGUUCCUCCUCUUCCUGUGAACCGAAGCAGUGAAGGAAACAAUAUGCAGGGAAGUAGAAGAAGAAGAGUGAUUGUAUUUAAUGAGGAAUCACCCGCAUCAUAAAAGCUGAAAUCUUUCUGCAAACAUAAUAAAUAGACGAUUGAGUCCUAAGUGUUAAAUUAACAAAAAAAAUUGUUGGGUGCAGAUGAAGAUUAGUGAUUAGAGUGAGUUAGUGAUGAAACGGCGGUGAGCCAUUGUUGGCUGCUGUAUUUUGAAAAAGAGAAAAAGAAAGAGAGAGAAGAUUGUGGAAAUGUGAGAGGAAGGGACAAGCAAAAAAGCAAAGACGAUGACUGGAAUCUCCAUCCACUAUUUAUUCACAUCUGAUAUUCUGAUGC
rnacentral:lncRNA from 1 species